UUAAAAGCAAACGAAAUUUAUGAACGAAUGUUGAAAGUGUAUAAGGACUCUUCCCCUUCAAUUAGUACAGUACAAAGAUGGGUUGCUGAAUUUAAACGUGGUCGUACAAGCCUAGCAGACGAUCCACGUCAAGGACGUCCAAAAACAGUAACAACCCCAGAAAUCGUG
rnacentral:lncRNA from 1 species